ACCGGCGAACGGGUGCGUAACACGUGAGCGACCUUCCGUCUUCUGGGGGAUAGCCGGCCCAACGGCCGGGUAAUACCGCAUACGCUCUUUGGGCUGCAUGGCCUGGGGAGGAAACUUCCGGGGGAGGACGAGGGGCUCGCGGCCUAUCAGCUAGUUGGUGCGGUAACGGCGCACCAAGGCGACGACGGGUAGCUGGUCUGAGAGGAUGGCCAGCCACAUUGGGACUGAGAGACGGCCCAG
rnacentral:rRNA from 1 species